GAAUGGCAGAAGCUCCAAGGGUGGGCAAAGCCCUGGUGUGACUGGUUUGGUCACAAAGAUCCCCUCGAGACUGUCACGUGACGUGCUGAUAUUACCUCUGAGCCCGCUUUCCUUGUCAGCUUGGGACUCCAGAACCCUGCCUUGUUGAGCCACACACACUAGCCUACUGCAACACAGACCCAGGGUACAGUCCAUGUCCCCAAAGCUGCAGACUUAAC